AUAUCAAUAAGCGCAGGAAAAGAAACCAACAGGGAUUGCCUCAGUAACGGCGAGUGAAGCGGCAACAGCUCAAAUUUGAAAUCUGGCCUCUUGGGGUCCGAGUUGUAAUUUGUAGAGGAUGUUUCGGGUACCGCCCCGGUCUAAAUUUCUUGGAACAGAAUGUCAAAGAGGGUGAGAGUCCCGUCUUGGACCGGCGGUAGGGCCUAUGUGAAACUCCUUCGACGAGUCGAGUUGUUUGGGAAUGCAGCUCAAAAUGGGUGGUAAAUUUCAUCUAAAGCUAAAUAUUGGCCAGAGACCGAUAGCGCACAAGUAGAGUGAUCGAAAGAUGAAAAGCACUUUGAAAAGAGAGUUAAACAGUAUGUGAAAUUGUUGAAAGGGAAGCGCUUGCAACCAGACUUGAGCGCGGCGGUUCCCCUAGCCUUUUGGCUAGGCUAUUCCGUCGUGACCAGGCCAACAUCGGUUCUGAGGGUCGGUUAAAGGCCCCGGGAAUGUAUCUACCCACGGGUAGACUUAUAGACCGGGGUGUCAUGCGGCCUCUCGGGACCGAGGAACGCGCUUCGGCUCGGAUGUUGGCGUAAUGGUUGUCAGCGA
rnacentral:rRNA from 1 species